GUCUGCGUGGAGCCGACCUUGAAAUACCACCCUUUAAUGUUUGAUGUUCUAACGUGGACCCGUAAUCCGGGUUGCGGACAGUGUCUGGUGGGUAGUUUGACUGGGGCGGUCUCCUCCUAAAGAGUAACGGAGGAGCACGAAGGUUGGCUAAUCCUGGUCGGACAUCAGGAGGUUAGUGCAAUGGCAUAAGCCAGCUUGACUGCGAGCGUGACGGCGCGAGCAGGUGCGAAAGCAGGUCAUAGUGAUCCGGUGGUUCUGAAUGGAAGGGCCAUCGCUCAACGGAUAAAAGGUACUCCGGGGAUAACAGGCUGAUACCGCCCAAGAGUUCAUAUCGACGGCGGUGUUUGGCACCUCGAUGUCGGCUCAUCACAUCCUGGGGCUGAAGUAGGUCCCAAGGGUAUGGCUGUUCGCCAUUUAAAGUGGUACGCGAGCUGGGUUUAGAACGUCGUGAGACAGUUCGGUCCCUAUCUGCCGUGGGCGCUGGAGAACUGAGGGGGGCUGCUCCUAGUACGAGAGGACCGGAGUGGACGCAUCACUGGUGUUCGGGUUGUCAUGCCAAUGGCACUGCCCGGUAGCUAAAUGCGGAAGAGAUAAGUGCUGAAAGCAUCUAAGCACGAAACUUGCCCCGA
rnacentral:rRNA from 11 species